UACGAAGGGGGCUAGCGUUGCUCGGAAUCACUGGGCGUAAAGCGCACGUAGGCGGGUUCUUAAGUCAGGGGUGAAAUCCUGGAGCUCAACUCCAGAACUGCCUUUGAUACUGGGAAUCUCGAGUCCGGGAGAGGUGAGUGGAACUGCGAGUGUAGAGGUGAAAUUCGUAGAUAUUCGCAAGAACACCAGUGGCGAAGGCGGCUCACUGGCCCGGUACUGACGCUGAGGUGCGAAAGCGUGGGGAGCAAACGGG
rnacentral:rRNA from 1 species